CUCUAGGUGAAACAUCUGCUUAAAAAUGGACAAAGUAUAGGAUAGCAUAGAAAAGGAACCAGAGGGAAGUAGGGACAAAAGCCAACUGAAUAGAGCAAUGGGUCUCAACUAGGGGUGAACAGGGUUUGGACAAUGUCUGGAGACAUUUCUGGUUGUCACACCUGGGGAGGUUCAACUGGCAUCUAGUGGAUGCAGGCCAGGGCUGCUACUCAACAUCCUAAAAUGCACAGGACAUGCCCCAUCCUGUCCCCAAAGAAUUCGUCAGCCCAAAACGUCAGUAGUGCCAUGGAGGAGAAACCUUGGAUGUGAAAAACAGGAGCAGCUGCAUCGGGACACAGUAAGUAGAAAAAUGCAGAUAUGUCAGGAAAUACGGGAGUAAUAUGAAAACAAAACAAAGCAAGGGAACAAGAGGCAGCACCGAGAGAGGACAAGUAAUGAGGGUGG
rnacentral:lncRNA from 1 species